AUACUUCUGUUCCCUUGGAUUGGACCAUGUCCAGUUCUCACCCUUAAGGCCUUUCCUUGUCUUAGUCAAUUUAACUCCUCUGCUCUGUAAUCCUUGGAUUACAAAACAAGUUGUUUCUCCUUUCCAGGGACAAGAGGAGCUUCCCUAUUGUUCUUAAUUCUUAGGGCAGAGAAAAAGGCACAAUCAUAUUAACUUGUAGCAGACGAGAAGGAAUUGGGUAGAUUAGUGAAAUCCUUUAUUCCUGCUGAUUUUUUUUUCUUUUUAAGACGAGGUCUUGCUCUUUUAUUCAGGCUGGAGUGCAGUGGUGUGAGCACAGCUCACUGCAGCCUCAAACUCCUGGGCUCAAGUGCUGCUCCUGCCUCAGCCUCCUGCAAAGCUGGAACUACAGGUCACAUCUCAAAUAUGAACAUCACCCAGAGGUUACCCAGGUGAUCCCAGGCCAUCUCGGGAUGUCCUCCACAUUCCACAAUUCAGUAGCCAAAGGAUUGAACUGAUACCUGCAGAAGACUUCCUGGAUUCCCUCUCCAAGACCCACAAUCCACUAUGAUUGGAUAAGGCCUACCCUCUAAUUGAUCAGUACUACACACACACACACACACACACACACACACACUCACUCACCAAGGCUUGGUUUCCUUUUCUAAAAAACAAAAGAGGGUAAAGGAAUGCCCUCCCAAGUCUCUUUCUAAAAUUUUCAAGUUCUACAGGCUCAGUAGGCAUCCAGCCUCUCAGCACUACCCUAUGUCCCCUAUGCCCACGUAGAUAAACUUGUUUUAAUAAAAGCUAACUUCCGAUUUAGCACACAGUAUUAAGAAUUAAAGUUGGAUGAAGCUAUUACUGUUACGAAUAGCCUUGGGCUAUUUUUCAAUUCACCUAUGUCAUACGUCAAGUGAUUAAGAAAAUCAAAUGCUGUAUCCAGGAAAAUAGAACAUGAAAAGGCAGGAAUAAUGUGUGUCUUUAGGACACCCAUUUGAACACAAAAGAAUUAGGGCCCAAAUUUCACUAUAUGUCAAAUGUGAAUUUAUUUCUAUAAAAGGCUUCAGAACUCUCUAAGCUUUGCAUUGUCUGAAGAGUGCUACAGAGCCAUCUGUGACUUGUAGUGGUUGCAUCCAGAUCUUUGAAAAUGCUUUUUCUUCUUAAUCAAGUUAGGAUAUUGGAUUUCCAGAAGAGUAGGAUCUCUAUAUUUUGAUACUCGCCUGAUUUCUUAAAGCUCCUAAAGGUGCCUUUUGACUUCCUAACUGAUUCUAACAAACACAUGGCUUCAGUCUAUCUGGCUUCCCCUUUGUCUAAGAACACUGACAUUAGGAGUUGCCAAUUGGCACCUCUAUGUGGACACCUUCCACCCAGAAACCAUGUUGAGUUUUCAGGUUUCACAAUGAUGCUGAUUUGAGUCAGCACUGUUGGAAAUGAGGGUCUUUUUAAAAAUGCUUCAGAUUCCCAGUUAUUCCUACCUUUGUCUCUUCAGUCCUCAACAUCCUCUGGGGCAAAACUAGAGAGCUGCACUGUUUCUGUGUGAGGUGAACCUGCGUCCACAGAGGAGCAGCACUCACGUUCCCCACUCAAGACCUGUGUAAUUUAUUUGUAGCAAAGCUCCAUCCUUAAUUCACUAUUAUCUUGUCUUUCUGGCAUCCUCCUUCCCUCUGUGCUAUGCAUGUUGGGGUCGGUGAGGGGAGCAAUGACCCAGAGAGGGGCAUCUUUUGCAUGGCAAAGUCCUUUGGAUGAGCUGAGGAUUCCCAUCUUGACUGAAGUUUUCCAGUUUUUAAAUCUCAUCUUUCAUUUUGUGAUGCUUGAUAAAGAUAGCAAAGUAAUAUGAGUUAGUAAAUGUUAACACGUGCCGCAAAUACAAAAGCAGUUUAUUCUGUCAUUGAUAAUGGAGGAAAAUAUGCAAUAAUAGUAUUGAAUUUGCACUCAUAGGUAAAAGCCUUCAUUGCAAAGCAAAAUCUGAUUUUUGUUUGUGACCAGCAUGAAUGCUGACCUCUGCCCUUUGAAUGAUCUUUCCGUCUCCCGGAAAGUUCAUGAAAAGGUCAUGGAGCUGCGCUGACUUCCUCUGUGUGUGCAUGGACGUGUCUUUGCUAUUGAUCCAGGAAAAGACCAUUCUGUGGUUUUGUUCAUUUUAUUUUUAAUGGAAACCUAAUCAGUAAUUAUAAAAUGUUUCUAGAAGAAUUCACGCCUGAGUAAGUGAAGAAAGCUAACCUCAUUUCAUGCUGAUUAUUUAACCUUGGUCAUAACUCCCAAUUAAAUGCAUUUCUUGAACCCGUAACAAAGCAAAAUAUGGCACUUACUGGUCAGAAAUUCAAAGCAGGAGAGAGAAAAAAUGGCUUAAUAGCUGGAAAUAAAAACAUCAGUGAAUUUUUCUUAUGGAUUCCUUCAUGUCAAAUUCAUAUCAUGAGUGACUCGCAGUUUUCCCUUUAGAUCAUCUUGGCAUCAUCGAGGAGCAAAAAUAAAAAUGAUUUCUAG
rnacentral:lncRNA from 10 species